AAAAAAAUAGUGUAUAUUGUUAUAUUUUAAACAGUUUGGAGAAAGAGGGAGAACAUAAAAAUUAGGACGCAAAACAUACGAGCGCUUUGGCGUUAGCCAAAAGCAAACGAAACUACACGAAGUUUUUGCUGGAAAAUCAACCCUCUUGUUUACAUGUUUCUAAGGUUAUCACUAUCAAUACUUUAUGGAGCUUUCUAAAGUUUAGUUUAAUAACAUACAUAGCUGGUGUAUUCUGCUCUCUUGGGAAACAGUGACAGCCUUUGGAUUGGCUUCAUGCAGAUUGGAUGGCUAUUGAACCUGAUAUCAUUGAUAGUGGUACUGUGCAUAUCACUAAGACAACCAAGAAUGAGAAGAGUGACUGAGACAAAAACCUUAAGUACACAACUGAGGAAGCACCUUAUAUCAUGAAAUUAUAAAAAAACUAAAGCGUCAUAGCUUAACAGAAACACUGUUUUCAUUAUUUUUUUACUGAAUUUAUUCAUCCCGUGUUGUAAAAAUGACGUCAGCAUUAAAUGAAAAUAAUUUGGAAAAGAAAUUCCAAACUGUGACCAACACCCAAGAUGGAAUACAGUCUCUGUCACUCUGGAUUUUACUAUCAUAAAACUCACCAUAAGAAGGUUGUAGAAAUGUGGAUUAAAGUACUGGCAAAAGCCAAACCUCCUCACAAGUUAACGCUUCUCUACUUAGCCAAUGAUGUUAUUCAGAAUAGUAGAAAGAAGUCAGGCUCUCAGUUUGGUGAUACAUUUGGUGAAGUUCUUCAUGAAGCUAGUAUGCUUCUUAGGGAUGAGAAGAUACGACCAUCAGUAGAAAGAGUUUUCAAGAUCUGGGAAGAAAGAAAUGUGUAUGACCUUACCUUCAUUAAUGAACUGUAUGACAUACUUGAAAACCCCAAAAUAAGUCAACCAGUAUCAUCGAAAUCAAUUGCUGACUUUAAGCCCCAGAAAGUGACUGACCAGAUCCAUCUGGUGGAAAAUCUAACAAAAGAAACACUUGCUAAACUGACCAUAUUGACUAACAGUAAGGUGGAUGCAGCCAGUACAGAGGCUUUGUGCAAGUUAAAAGACAGGAAACAUGGGCAGCAGUUUUCAAGAGAUUUUGACAGUUCAGUGAAAUGUUUAGAAGAUUACAUUAGAACCUUAGAGAAGGAAGUAAAGGAGAGAACAGGACUGAUCACAGUUCUGGAACAGGGAGGAGUGUACUAUGAAACCCAGAGAGGAGAGGCAAGGCUGGUUGCCAGUGCCUAUAGAAACUUUGGGAACCGAGUAAAAUGUCUGAAGAAUAAACUUCAAGAAAUUACUCCAACACUUUCAAGUUCAUCACCAUGUACAGAUGCUCCUUCACCAACUAACGCAGAUCAGGGAUCAGAAAUCAUCUCUCUACUUGGAACCUUAAAAUCAGAAUCUUCAACAUCUCCAAGUCCCCCUAAUCUUGGUCAUAGCAGCUUAGAAAGUCGCCUCUCUAACUUGUCUAACAUAAUACAAAGUACAAUUUUUGGUGCAAAACAUAAGAAAGGUUUUUCAACCCCUCUGCUUAGCAGCUCCAACACCAACUCUCCACAUCCUCCAGGCUUUGAUCUGGUUAGUGGAAGAUCUUUAAUUCAAGAGACUCCAGACACAGGCUCAGGAACUCAACUUAAAGAUGAAGGUGGUGGUCCUGAAACUCCUGUUCAGGAUGAAGGGGAAAGUUCAUCAUCUAUAUUGAAAGAACACUUUGAAAACUCAGCUCAAAAACUCUUUCAAACUUUAACAGAUCCAAAGCCUGUUAUAUUUGAUAUGCCAGGCCUAACUACAAAUAACACUUGGUUCAUAGAUUCCAGCACUAACACAUGUAGAGACAUUAAAAGUACUUCAUCUUCUAGCAUAUGGUCACUACAACAGAAGGGACCUGAAAAACCAGAUGACAAGAAAACACAUGUACAAGAGAACAAGAACCCAUCUGUAACAGAUUUCUUUCAGAACAUAUCUUCAAGUUACUUGGGCAGUACUAAAGACACAUCUCUGCAACUGUUGAACUCACCAGCUACAGGCAACAGUCUGAGUUUCCAGUUUAAACAAUCUGCAAGACUUGAUGGUAUGUUGAAGGAGCAACAUAAACAAGGAAUUGAGACUGAGGAUCUCGAACCACAAGAUAUGGACCUGGGUGAAAGUGAUGAUGAAAGUGUGUCACAAGAAAAGGCACCUUAUCAGGUUCUGAAAUCUUCCAGAUUAAAGGAAAUUACUAAAGACAGUAGUGCCAUAUACAACCGAGCAUCUGUGGAUGUUGCCAGGGGGCUAGUACAAGAACCAUACAUGUCUGCUGAGUAUGGUAAAAAUCAUGGUAAACCUCUUGACCAUGAUACAAGUGUUACUGGUAGUCCAAACACUAGACAGAGUCUGAAGAACUCAUUUGUUUUUAAAUCAAUGAGUGGUACUCAGGAAAGUGUAGAUAAGGAUUCUUUCUGUCCACGUGGAGGGAUGGAGCACAUCGCCCCAUCUGCAAAGCCCAUGGACAACAGUGUUGUAAGCUCUCUAUCUGAGAACAAAAAAUUUGGUAACUUUCUAUCCGAUAAAAUUAGUGCAGCAACUUGUGUUGGAGAUAUUUUAAAGACACUUUCAAGUGCUUUCCUUGAAAGUGAUGUGAAGAAUAAUGAAUCAAGAAAUAAUAAGGAAGAGUUUCAAAAGCCAUCCACAAUUCCCAUUGUUGAAUCAUCACAUUCAACAACACCAGUGACAAAAGAACAGGACUUUCGAUAUGUUCCCGAAGAGCUGCCUUCGGUGUCUCGAUUAGAGGUUGUUAAACCUUUAUGUCACAUCCAUUCUGAGAAAGAAAACAAUAUCGAAAGGGAACAACCACCUUCGGUUAGCAGUUGUGAUUCAAAAAACUUAGGGCCUUCAAGUCAAAGAGAAAAAUUUUUGAGAGACACUCAGUAUAUUGACAGGAAUGAAGACCAAAAACUGGCAUCCAUAAUUCCAACUUGUGGUGUCAGUUCUAGUACUUACGAACCAGUGUCCAGAAUUCAGACUGUUCACACCAUUCGCCAAGAACAAAAUGAUUUUAGUGAAAGAAUAAGAUGGGAAGAGGAGCCUGUUGUGAGAUCAGUGCAACAGUAUGGAUAUAGAGAAGACUAUUACGAGCAUGACAACAGGAACCAUGUGUAUGAUAAUUAUUAUUCAAGAAGAUAUUUUCCACAACCAGAAAGUUACGUUAACAGACAAGGGUGGGAAUUAAGGACACCUCAAAAUUAUUAUGGUCCACCUCCACCCAAAAGACGCCAACCAUUAAUGAAGGACAGAAGACAUCAGUUUUACCCUUACUGAAAACAGGGAAGUGUCAACUUUCUCACUGUAUGAUGAAAGUUUUUAUCACUAGGACUACAGUAUUUAGUCUUUUAUCAAGGCCACUCAUACAGAAAAAUGUUAUGUUGAAACAGAAUAUCUCUUUAAAACUGAUGUAUAGUUUGAGUGAAAACUGUACGUCUGGUCAUGUUGACACAGAAUAUUUGUUCAUAUCUCCUUGACAGUGAUGUACAGUGUCAGUGAAAACUGUACGUCUGGUCAUGUUGAAACAGAAUAUUUGUUCAUAUCUCCUUGACAGUGAUGUACAGUGUCAGUGAAACCUGUACGUCUGGUCAUGUUGAAACAGAAUAUUUGUUCAUAUCUCCUUGACAGUGAUGUACAGUGUCAGUGAAAACUACAUCCGGUCUCCUUGAAAGUGACAUAUAGAUCUCAAUGUAAAAAGCUUCUUCAUAUGUGUGUCUUUCAGGGUGUUCCAUUAAUUGACGGCGGAACAGCCCACCUUACCCAUCUUGUAGGACUGUCCAAGGAACUUGAUCUCAUCUUUAGAGAACGACAACUUUCAGCAAAGGAAGUAUUCAAGACGGGACUCGUUAAUCGGCUUGUUUCAUGUGGCACUUUUUCCUCAGAAGUACUUCAGAGUUGACAGAAGUUCCACCUACUGUUCAUCAUUUGAAACAAAGUCUUUAACUGAUGCUCUUCAGUUUGAAUGGGAACAUGGGAAAGGCAUUAUAACAGAUGAAUGCAUUUCAGAAGCCCAGAAAUUUAUGGAGCGUGUUGGAAGACAUGACAAAUUUCACUUAGACCAACCAACAAAGAAAGCUAGUGACUCUCUUUAAUUUUAUGUUCUCAAACUGAAGCUGGACACAGAUUUCUCCAAAACAGACGGCUAUUUACCUUGAUGAGAAAUUGUAUUUCCCAAGAGUUGGACUUCAAACUUUCAAGCACGAAUCUUAUUAUAAUGGAGCCUGCGAUGUAUACGUCCAAAACCUGGAUCUCGGAAAGUACGGCACCGAUCGAUCAUCACCAAUCUAAAGGAAGAUCUUUAAACAAGGACUUACACCCUCUCUUCUACCUGCUCUCAGGAUGAAGUGGAUAUCCAGACAUUUUUGGAGUUUUUACAAGGAAUAAUGGGUAAGUUAUUUAUUUGAGUAUUUUUAAAGUGUUGAGUUAAUAUUAUAGCAGAUGUGUGUUUGGAGAUAUGUUUUUGUAAAAGGCCUGGUAUCUCCUUAUAUAUUUGCCAUAAUAGGACUUAACAUUUUUUUUUACCCAUG